rnacentral:rRNA from 1 species
CGGCCGUACCAUGCUGAAUAUACCGGUUCUCGUUAGAUCACCGAAGUCAAGCAUCAUUGGGCGCGGUCAGUACUUGGGUGGGUGACCACCUGGGAACACCACGUGCCGUU